rnacentral:lncRNA from 1 species
UCUGCUGUCGUUGUUACUGCUGAGGGGGACGUAUAAUUUUGUCAACCAGUUAACACCGUAUACCUAGUUGUUCCAAAAUGAAACAACUAAAAAAUUAGGAUAAAAGUCCUAUAGUCGGACCGACCAUAAUUCCUUCCAUGGUUGGCCAGACUAUAGAAAUUUUAUCUAGAGAACUAUACGAGAGGCCUCGAGCCUCGGUACUAGCCAACCAUCUAGGUAGGCUAUUUUGAUAUGUGGUAUGGGCCGG